UGGAGGCUUUUGAACAGGACACCGACAUGACCUGCUUUAUAUUUUUAAAGGACAAUUCUGGCAGCUAGGUCCUGUCUGAGCUGCC